GACGAACGCUGGCGGCGUGCCUAACACAUGCAAGUCGAGCGGGGAUAUAUGCUGGAGCGCUUCGGUGUGAAGGGAUAUAUCCUAGCGGCGGACGGGUGAGUAACGCGUGGGGAACCUGCCCUUAAGUUCGGGAUACCAACUCGAAAGGGUUGUUAAUACCGGAUGUGCUGCAUUAGCCGCAUGGCGGAUGUAGUAAAGGGGAGACUCGCUUAAGGAUGGCCCUGCGUUCCAUUAGCUAGUUGGUGGGGUAACGGCCUACCAAGGCGACGAUGGAUAGCCGGCCUGAGAGGGCGACCGGCCACACUGGGACUGAGACACGGCCAGACUCCUACGGGGGGCAGCAGUGGGGAAUCUUGCACAAUGGGCGGAAGCCUGAUGCAGCGACGCCGCGUGAGGGACGAAGGUCUUCGGAUCGUAAACCUCUGUCCAAAGGGACGAAGGAGUGACGGUACCUUUGGAGGAAGCCCCGGCAACUACGUGCCAGCAGCCGCGGUAAGACGUAGGGGGCGAGCGUUGUCCGGAAUCAUUGGGCGUAAAGGGCGC
rnacentral:rRNA from 1 species